ensembl:lncRNA
UAUUUCUCAGCAGGCACGGGAAUCUUUGCCCUCCUGGAAUAAUGUAAUAUAUGAUGUUCUGUAGAGUGCACUGAGUGAUCACAUUUGGACGUAGAAAGAUGAUAAAUGUGUGUUGAAACAAUGUAAAACUGUCUGAACAGGGUAUUGUCAGGGAUUUCUGCCUGCCGCGCUUCUGCAAUAACUGCCCAGAUCCCUCUUUGAGCUGUUCAGAUCUAUGUAAUGCCUUAUUAUCUGAAAAAUAUACAGCACGUAUUGCCUCAAACUCUGGCAGGUCUUUGUCUCCUGACAAAUUUACCUAUUCUCCAAUUCUGGUGAUGCGUUUCAGGAGCGAGCCUCUGUCAAUCCCAGUUAAAGACAGCAUCCCCAUCUUUCGGCGGCGAAAAGCUUUUGAUAUUGAGCUGGGCCGUAAAGCUUGAAAGAGAAGAAAUAUAUUCAGUUACCCACGCUCACCUAGAAAAGCCUGUCUGAGAAAUGGUGUAUUGAAAUGCCUAAUUAACUGACGUGUCCAGUCAAUUCACUUUCCUAAACCUGCAGAUCACCUCAGCUGUGGGGCCGUCCCUGGGGCUCGUUUGACAUGCACACUUUUUACGGCCCCUAAGAAUGAUUCUAGCAGACGAGGCUUUGUGCUGGAUGGAAUCUCCCCACCUCCAGUAAGUCCAUGUAUCUUCUUUUAUUGGAGUAUGAAGGAAAAUGACAAUGAAAUUUUAUUCCGGCAGAAUUUCAGACGGACAGUUCGAGCUCCUGCGGGGUGGGCGGAAUGCGGCCCAUAUGCGAGCGGCGUGGGCAAACCAAUCCGGAAAAAUGGCAAGGGACGAAUCAAAGGAGGAGGGAGCUGUUCCAUUUCUCUGUUUCUUCUGCCAUUGGGAGCUGUUACUCUUGCAUACAGAGUUGGGGAGGGACGCCGUUUCCCCAACGCCACCCUCAAACUCAGCAGUGGAGAUGAAUAAUGCAGUCCGACCAACCCCCAUCUCACACACACACACACACACACACGAUCGCACGGCAGGGCCUGGAGCACCAUGGGUUCAAGUGUACGCACUUGAGGGGCACCACCAGUAUCAGCGCACAAUUAUCUGGUGAAUUUGUACACUUUAUUACAGGAGCUCCACUGGGCAAAUAGUGUCACAUCACAGAGACUGGCCCUUCAGAAGCAUAUUUAGCUAAUAAGAGCAAAUUAAUUAGACUAGAAUGAGUUUAGCUGGGGGACACUGGUGGGCAGUGAGCGUGUGUGUUUGAUACAACACAGCCAUGACAUCUCAAAUCCAACAUUAGACUGAUUGAGAAAGAACCUACACGCUCAGAAAAAAAGCAGUAUGCUUUCAAAAGGUACUAAUAUGUACCAUGUAGGUAUUAAUAUGCACCUUUAAGGUACUAAUAAGCAUAUUUUAGGGGUACAUAAACUUCAAAAGUACUUUAUUACUAAAGUACUUUUGAAAAGGUACCACCCUAGUGACAGAUUUUGUAGCUUUGGGCCUUAAAAGUAAACAUUUAUUUUCAUAUCCAGCCUUAAUAUGGGGAGACAACUGUAAGUAAACUAUCUUAGAUUGAAUUCACCACAAUGAGUAAACUGUGGCGCUAUAAAAACAUUUAACUAGCCCAUGGAUUUUCUCUUUUUGCACACAGGUCCAUGAACCAUCAAUGUAAAUAUGCAUGCUAAAUGCUAGCUCUUAUCAUCAUGAAUACAUAUUUUUUUUGCUGCUGUUUUUAAUCACUAACUUUAUAUCUGUAGUAGGUAAUGAUUCGGGAGAAGAAGAUGCAAGUUGCACUGUUAUUGGCUUAACCAGUUGUGUUCGUCUGCAGAUAUUAUUUAAAUAUUAUUUAUGUGAAGAUUUUAGAAGUCAAUCAUUUUAUAAAACAGUGGCAAAAGCAAUAUGGUAAAAUACACCAACGCUUAAUAAAUAGUUGCAUUUAUAAAAUUAGAUUUGUAAA